rnacentral:rRNA from 1 species
GCGUGAAUGAUGAAGGCCUUCGGGUUGUAAAGUUCUUUUGGUGGGGACGAUGAUGACGGUACCCACAGAAUAAGCUCCGGCUAACUUCGUGCCAGCAGCCGCGGUAAUACGAAGGGAGCAAGCGUUGUUCGGAAUUACUGGGCGUAAAGGGUGUGUAGGCGGUUCGAUUAGUCAGAUGUGAAAGCCCUGGGCUCAACCUAGGAACUGCGUUUGAUACUGUCGAGCUUGAAUUCGGUAGAGGUGAGUGGAAUUCCCAGUGUAGAGGUGAAAUUCGU